CUUGUUUGAAUUUUUUUAAUGCAAUACUGAUACUUAAACAUUAGGAGGUAACAUGUAAAAAUCUGGAUUUCAAGUUUAUUCUGUAAGAUUGAUAGAUCUGUGUUGCUGGGCCUGCAUAUCUGCACAACAGUCAGCAGAUCUAUUAGCUGCUCCCUCUUGAUGGGCAAUGGUCUCUCCAACUUGCCACAAUUGCUAUUCUGCCAGAUUCACUAAUUCACAUUACCUUCCUGGUCCCUGUGGGCACAUGAGUUGGCAACAAUGACUUAAGAGCCCAGAUUCUUGCAAAGAGAACUAGUACUAAAAACCCAGACUGCUUAGUGCUGUGAAACAAAGAAGGAAAUAUAUAGGCUAAAAUAUCACUCCUCUGGGGAAAAUACAUGGGCUAACGGCUCUCUCAAACUCAGGGUUUACGAUUUUGUAAACCAAACCAAGCAGAAAUGCUGUGCAGUAUUCUAAUGCUCUCUCAUUGGUGACAGCCUGCAAGCACAGAAACAAAAAUAAUUCUUUUGGUUUAAUCCAAAACAAUAAUGAGUAAGGAUGCCGAUGGUGGGGGAGUGAAACCUUUAUUUUCAAAGGAGUUUGCAGUGAAAAAAUCCUAUUCCUCUUACAUUCAGCACACAGCAUGCUUUGGUGACAGAUGGUCAUUCCAAGUGCUGUGGUCUGUCUCAAUAUAUAAUGACAAAUAUAUAAACCUUCUGUUGUACAGCAUAGGCGUGAAGCUUAAACACCUGCUUCAAAUUACUCUUAUACCAUAAACAUUCUUGGAAAUUGGAAAGCCCUGUGUUUUAAGAAAGGAAGAGACGCCACAGCCAACUACACUAAAUUGGGUAGGCUUGGGUCCAGUGAGCAGUAAAAAAAGAAAAUUACACCUGAAUCUACUGGCAAACAGCUAAUGGUGAUAAUAAUAUUACUGAGUAGGAAUACAGUUAAAAUCGAUUGCUGCAGAAAUCUUGUACAUUCUCAAAUGUGUACUUAAACUAAUGAUGUAUAUUUUAUUUUUCAUCUCUCUCUUUUCUUUUAAAUGUGUUAUAUCUGGAAUGCUUCUGGGGGUAAUUUUAAGAUGGGGAUGUUUUGAUGUUCUAAUUAACAGAAGGAUUAGUGACACUUUCUAAUAUUAUUUCUUCCUAUGUCUAUCAAAUGAUUAAUUACCAAUAUUUCACUCAAGAACUAAACUGCUAACAUUUCAGCUCCUCUAGCAGUUCUAUCACAAGAAGAGAUCUGAAUUCUUGUCAGUCUACAAUGAAGUUGUCACUGCACUUUCCUGAUUCCUUCAGGGAAACAUCUGCCUACUUGAAGCUCUCAUAAUGAAGCACUGUCAAAUUACUGAAAGGCUGCACAUCAUCCAAUAAUUAACCUGGAAAGAUCACUUGCCAAUGGCGUUCUGCCAUGACAAACAGAUGUUCCUGCUACCUAUCUGAAAAAGAGGUCAAAUGUUCUGAAGUAGACAUACUCUGUGUUCCUUCCUGCUCCCUGGCACAUCAGUACCAAGUUUCUCAUGUCAUGUCAACUUCGAUUUCAAUUUUACCCCAGGACACAUGCACCUCAGCAUGGUCAGCUCAGCAGUAUAUCAAUGAUGGCAAAAUUUAACAGCCUUUAAAAGAGAGCUGGAUGAAAAGGAUUCCGAACUGCUUUUCAGGACAUCCAUGAAUCAUCUGCUUUCAAUGGAGUGAUAUUUUAGAAUCACCCACUCAAGUUGACACCAAUUCUGAAUGGUGAGGUCUCACCCUUCUUAUGAAGAUAACUUCCAAUGCCAUUAGUCUCCUUAAUGCAGGCUUAGCACCAAUGAAACUAUUUCUGCUGCUGCCUGGCAUGGACAGAUAGAAGAGUGUUUUCCUUGGAAAAAUACUAGAAAUCAUUUUAAAGCUUUAACCUCAUAGUUUAACAAAGUCCAAUAAGCUAUAUGCUUUGACUGUAUCACUCAGGCUUCUGGCAGAACUGAAAAGAUCUGAGAUUUAACACUAUUUUUUCAAUAGUAAGUAAAGGCUAGUGAAGAUAUACCUAGAAUCCUUUACCCUUUCAUUACCAAUAGAUGAUACUAGUGCAUAUUUCACAGAUUUAUGGUAAAAAUUCAAAAAGGAAUGGGAGAAAUUAAAGGUUAUUCAGCAAAUUAUGUGGCACUUAAUAAAAUUCAAUACAUUUUAGCAUUUUCCCUCAAUUUUUUGUAACUUGCUGAGGUUUCCUUAUUUAAAGAUUCUGAAAGCAAAUUUCACUCAGAGAAAACACUUUCAUUAUAAACAGGAUAUUUACUUCUACCAAAAAAAAAGAAAGCUAUUCAGUCUAUCAUAUUUCCUUCUUUUCUCUAGCUACCAGGAGUCUCAGUAUUUUUCCUCUUUUCAAAGUAAUGUGAAGCAGCAUGCUUCAUAGAAGCAUGAAUUUAUCAAAAAUAAAUAAAAGAAUUUGAAUAGAACAGAAUAAAUAAAUACAUUUAUUAAAAUAGAAGACUUUUUUUUUUUUGAGAUGGAGUCUCGCUCUGUCGCCCAGGCUGGAGUGCAAUGGUGCAAUCUCGGCUCACUGCAAGCUCCGCCUCCGGGGUUCACGCCAUUCUCCUUCCUCAGCCUCCCAAGUAGCUGGGACUACAGGCGCUCACCACCAUGCCCUGCUAAUUUUUUUUUUUUUUUUUUUUUGUAUUUUUAGUAGAGAUGGGGUUUCACCGUGUUAGCCAGGGUGGUCUAUAUCUCCUGACCUCGUGAUCCACCUGCCUCGGCCUCCCAAAGUGAGAAGCAUUUCUUACACUUAAGCUUCAAAAGAAAGAGAGCCAUCAUGGUGUUAGUAUAAGAGAAACUGAUUUAAUAUUGACCAGUCUGCUAUAUUGAUAGAUAGAUUACAGGAAGAUUAGAUAGACAGACAGAUCACUAGAUAAAAUUUCCUCUUCCUGCCUAUUCCUUCUGUUGCUUCACUUUUGUCUAUCAUUUAGUAUUAAGGACUUUUGACUUAUAAUGUCAAUAAUUUUAUUUUAAGAUAUCUCAAUUCUUCCAAAAGGUGCAAUACAAAUAAAGGCAUAGAUAUGUACACAAAAAUGUUCUUUCUGUAUACAUUUCUUAUUUUUGUUUCAGCAUUAAAGAAUGAGAAUUCAACCCAAUUUUAUUUGUUCAAUAAGUAUUAUGUGCCAGUCUUUGUCCUAGGCAACAGGAUAACAAUAGUGAAGGCAACAUCUCCUGAGGAUAACACUCUAGAGAAAGUCUUUCCUUCUGAGUUGGGGUAAAUCAAUGAACUGGAGCUGUACCAAGAUAUCAAUCCCCUUAGCUCUUUAGGUGGUUGAGAUGGGGUUUGAAUUUUCUGGAUCACUGAAAUCUAGAGUUACAUAUCCAAUUAUGUACUAGACUGGACAUCACUAUCUGGUGUUUAUUAGGCAUGCAAGCCACUAGUCCAUUUAUCCCUGUGUGUGCUACAAAGACGGUCAAUUCUCAUUAUUCACUAAUUCCAUAUUUGCUAAUUUACCUACUUGUCAAAAUUUAUUUGUAACCCCAGAACCAAUAUUCACAAUGUUUUCACAGGCGUUUACACACAUGCACAUAGAGGUGACUAUUUUGGGUUCUCUGACAUGUACUUUCCAGGCUGAGUCUGAACAAGAUGGCAAUCUUCAUUCUUAUUACAAC
rnacentral:lncRNA from 10 species